UACGGAGGAUCCGAGCGUUAUCCGGAUUUAUUGGGUUUAAAGGGUGCGUAGGCGGCUUUUUAAGUCAGGGGUGAAAUACGGCAGCUCAACUGUCGCAGUGCCUUUGAUACUGAAGGGCUUGAAUGGUCUCGAAGACGGCGGAAUGGGACAAGUAGCGGUGAAAUGCAUAGAUAUGUCCCAGAACCCCGAUAGCGAAGGCAGCUGUCUAGGGAUCUAUUGACGCUGAUGUACGAAAGCGUGGGUAUCGAACAGG
rnacentral:rRNA from 1 species